CUAAUUUCUGACAUUUAUAUCUGCCUGAAAAAAUACAUGAAUGUAGCUUCUGAUAAAAGAUCUUCAUACAAGAGAUACAUCUAAAAAAAUACAAUGAAUUACAUGAAGUUACAAGUUACAACAAAAGAAUAUAGUAUCAACAAAGUACCUGAAUCAAAGGCUAGCAUUAACAAUAUAGAGGUCGCCAAUAACAAAGACUACCAUCUACAAUAGACUCGCUCGAGUAAAGAACAGUUUUGCAGCAUAAUUUUAAAUUAAAUGUUAUAAAAUAGAAUUUCAAACCCAGUUGGGUCACAAUGUACAUUUGCCUUGCACUUGAUCUAGCUUGUCACAGUAAACCUUGUUCUUCAAAUUCAUUUGCAGCUGAAACACCAGAACCGAAAGCAAAUGUUAGAAUAAUGCACAAGAUAUAUAUACCGGUUGAAAGUGAGAGAAAGAAGAAUGAUAAGGGAGCGAAAGUAUUUAAAGUCUUGUGUGCAAUCUAAGCAACCAAACCAGCAUCACCAGAUUUUGAUAAUUUUUUCUUAGAAUUUUGCAUAUUUCUUAACCAUGAAUCGUUAAUACAAAAACAAGAAUUAUCAAUAUUCGUUGAUUUUCAUCACAUUUAAGGAACCAUAGCUAUAUUAGUAUGUUUUGUAGUAGAAAAAACCAGCUUAACUAGAACUGUAGUUCAACCAAUUAUAUUUUUGAAUUUCAUAUAUUAUUACACACUAGUAUGUAGCACUAACACGUUGAAUUGAAUGUGUCCAGUGUCUAACACAUGUCAAUAGUGUUAAACACCAACACGACACCAAGUCACCAACAUAUGUGGUUAUAUUAAAUCCCUUGUAAUUUUCAAAAUUAUUAUUGAUAUCUACGUUUGUUAAGAUAGUUAGAGUUUGUUGGUGUUAGUUAAUUAGUUAGAAAUUAGUUAUAGUUGGUUACUCAAUUAGUUAGUUGAUUGAGUCCUAUAAAUAGAACACUAAUGUACACAUUUUACCAUCUUUUAUCAAUCAAAUAUGAACUCUAAUGAACUUUUACCUCAUGAGCAUGACUAUGCUCUCUUUCUAUCAUAUGUGUAUGAUCUAUGGCACUAUGAUCCUAUGAUUCUUGACAUGGUAUCAGAGCGAUACCCUA
rnacentral:lncRNA from 1 species